CUACAACAUGCACAUUCUACUUAAUGUAGCUCAAGCAACAGGAGUACAAGAGAACAGUUACAGGUAGACACUUAUGUUCAUACAAACUAUGCGUUUAGAAAUCUUAUUAGGCAAGUAUCUACAGCAGUUCUUCAGUUGAUAUUGGAACAUUACACGCAUGCACAAAUGAUUUGUUAAGAGAAUGGCAUGGAGGAGGCAGCUGGAUGGCAGUCAGAAGGAGUAAGAGCUGGGAAGAAUUGUGUGUCAGGAAGGGCAGUUCUCAGCUUUCCACUGUAAGUCUCUGCUCUGUGAUAGAGGCCUUUUGGGUGACACUUUGGUUCUCAUGACUACGAAGUUUGGAUACAACAUCUAGAAUCUGAGCAUUCCAGUUGUAAAUAAAGCAAAAUGUUCUCAGCUGGGGUCACAGAGACAGUUUUAAAGUUUCUUAAAUAUGAAAUGCUUAAAGUUUCUUAAAUCUGAAAGAUCAUGCUGGUGUGAUGGGAGAGUCAAAAAGACUGCUCUCUGCCCUCAUACGACACAGUAAAUCAAAAGUUGGUUCCCUAUUAUAACUAUUGUAAAUAGUUCAGCAGCAUACCUGGACACAUAAGGAUGUAAUUAAAGCCACUGUACAGAGAGGUAACAUCAAGCAUCUAGUUACCAUGGUAACUAAUGAACAUGUAAUAAUGCCGAAUGAAGCCCCUGUUGCUUUGGCAUUAAUAACAGCUUUAGAAUUGGGCACAGCUCAGAAAGAUCUAGAAAGUGCUAAGCUUGUAUGGAUUUUACACAGACUUUUAGCAGGAUCUCUGUGCUCAUAAGAAAUAGCACCAAAAUUUUGAGAGGAUAAUGGCAUACAAAUGACUGGCUGUAAUUGGUGUUUCUACCCCACAAUGCAAUGAAGUCUAUUGUACCUGAGAUAAUGGAACUCUCUUGUGAAGUUGCAGCAUUGUUACCAAGCAACAAGAAAUAAAAUGUCAAGAUUAGCACUUUGUUUAAUAUAUUUUUAUCAUCAAUGAACUAUAUUUCUAUCGUGCUGUUCUUCUGGAUGAAUAUGGCCAAUAGGCUAAAAAUUACAUUUAGUAUCUACAAGAGGACACCAAAACAAAUGCAGAACUCAACAGGGACAAAGGUUGAAAAGAUGCUGCACUGUGGAGAGGAAGACACUGGCAAGAAUCUUCCAAAGAGAGACGCCAGCCCAGAUUCUGCUACCAAAAACCUUCAAUGUAUUCAUGGGCAUAAUUCUUACAACUCAAUCCCUGGGCAUGUGUAUCCCUUCUACAAACAUACAAGGGCUUACCGUGCUUCUACUACCUAAACAGCUGCUCUGUUGAAGUUCCCAAACUAGAAUGGCAUAUAGAUUUCAUCCUGAUUCUUCUAAUCCAUCCCUGCCCAAUAAACCUUCCUGCUAUGACAACAAUGUCCUGUCUCUAUGUUGAUCAACACAGUAGUCACUUGCUACAUGAAACUAGUGAGCCCUUGAACUGUGACUGAAUGUGCAUUGUAUUUAAUUUUAAUUAAUAUGAAUUUUAUAUAUUUCAUGUGGCUAGUGGCUGCCAUACUGGAUAGUACAGUCAACUGGGAAUGACAGUCCAUAGCACUGUAUUAAAAGAGGCCUAAUGUGGGUCGAAAUGUAGGUCUGGGCCCACCAUAAUAUUGUGACAGAUUAGAGUUUCUCUUUCAGGAUAGGGAAGGGCAGCCUGUAUUACAUUCACAGGCUUAAUGAAUUUUCUCUCCCUUUAUGCCAAAAGAGAGCCUCUCCUUCCUAAUACCUACAAUGUCUCCUAGGCACUAGAAAGUCAUUUUUUGUUCUUAAAAAUGGAAACAAAGUCUUCGUAAAUAGGGAGGGAUAGAGGGGUUGAAGGGAGGGCAGGGGAAUGAGGAAGAAAAUAAGAACCAAGAUAUAUCAUAUAAAGGUACAAAAUUCCCAGUGA
ensembl:lincRNA